CUUAUAGGGCCUUCAAAGUCACCUGCGUCAGAAUUCAUCUAUAAUAUACCCCUUUAAUACCUUCACUCUCAAGACUUUCACUUCCUUCAUAUCCUUCCUUUCUCCCUAUUAGCUAACCUUCGAUGGCGUGCCGGAGGGAAGUAUAUUAGGUCUUACUGUGUCUUAUAGGGCCUUCAAAGUCACCUGCGUCAGAAUUCAUCUAUAAUAUACCCCUUUCAUACCUUUACUUUCAAUACUUUAACUUUCUUCCUAUUAGUUAACCUUCGAUGGGGUGUCGUAGGGAUGUAUAUUAGCUCUCACUGUUAUGCCUUGUAGUGUCUUCAAAGUCACCUGAGUCGAAGUGGGCUUAUAAUAUGAAAAGACUUGCUUCGUAUAUGUAUGUGUGUGUUAAUGGUUUUACCUUGUUGGUUUUGGGGUUAGAAUGUUUAGGGAAAUGGUAGUAAUUUUCCUUUUGUUUUGUUUUCUUGGUUUCAUAGCUAUAUAUUAUUUUU